AUGAGUAUGGGGGCGCUGAUUGGAAGCCGUUUGUGGAAGCAAGGGUGCACAUACAUACAUACACGACUCAUAUAUCUUUGCCGACGCAUUCCCAGAGGAUACAUUUUUCGAGGUAAGUACCAAAAAGAUGGAUAUUUCUCUAUUCUCGCCUUUCAAUCGAGAAUCUUGGUACAUCCGAUUUAUAUUCGUUCAAUAUUGAAACUUUUCGAUUUUUGAGAGGGUCUGGGAAUGCCUACGUUUCUGCCGUCCUUCCAACAAGCCUACAUAAGGUAGGCACUGCCUACUACAUAAGCAGAAAAAAUGCACAGUGUUGCUCGGGAGAACCUCCAGGCGUAUCUUCAUUCCUACAAGCUGUCUUCAAAUGAGCCCGGUAUAAAACUAAUGCACAAUUCUCAACGGGAUGAUCAACACCGGAAGGAUGUGGAGCAUUUUGCAGCUCUUAGAGCAUUACAGCAUUCAAAGAGAAAACACGUGGCGUUUGCGGUGCAAGCCAUGCGGGAUUACGAUGGGAGUCUUGACGAGAAAAGCCCGCUAAAGGAUCAUACAAUAUCGUUUAAUACCAAUGAUUUUAUUCAUAUUCACACGAAAUUCAACUCGGAUUGGUGGAUCGGUCGAAUCGUCAGGUCUCACAGCGAAUUCGGAUUCGUGCCGACCGCCCGUCGCCUGGCAAACUACAUGGUGUCCGAUGAGGAUCCCCCAGUGAAACACAACACUUCAGACCAUCAAGACAGAAGUAUCUGGGAGCCCAAAUGUCCCUAUAAAGUGGUACCUUCAAGUCGGCCAAUUGUACUUCUAGGUCCAACUCUACAACAUUCAAGGCUCACUCAGUUAUUGCAUUUGGCGCUGAGAGAGGAGAUUUUAAAGCAUUUCGGGAAAAAUAUGAAGUACGUAAAGUCAGAUAUCGGAAGUGGUCAACAAUCAGGAGAUCGGAAAGGAGCAAGAUGGCUUCGAGGACUUAGAGACUAUGAUCGAGGACAGGAUGAGAAUCAAGAGGUGGAAUUGAUUAUGAGAAUGACAUCGAAACUACACUUGUUACUGGUUGACUCACCACAUAUUCAUACUCCUGAUGAUGUUCAACAUUUGCCAUUAUCGCCUAUCUUUUUUCUUAUCAGAGUUUCUGAUAAUAAGAUUCUAGCCAAACUGCUCCGCAACACGGGAACAACACGGAUGGCUGCUGAAAUAGAAGUGGCAAAUGUUCUGAAAACAAUGAACGACGACAGAGUAGGUGGUCACGACGAUGAGCAGCUCAUCGCGCGAGGAUUCGAAAUGGUGAUUGAAGAAAACGGAUUACGUGAAGCUACUCGACGAAUCAUAUCCUAUUUGGAAAAAUAUAUUCAUGCACUGCACUAUCAUCAUAAGGAUGAUGAGAUUUAA